GUCUAUGGCCACGCCGCCCUGAACUUGGGAAGCUAAGCAGGGAUGGGCCUGGUUAGUACUUGGAUGGGAGACCACCAAGUACCACCUAGGAAGACCAGGUGCUGUAGGUG
rnacentral:rRNA from 1 species